rnacentral:rRNA from 1 species
AAUGGGUCAGCGACUUAUAUUCUGUAGCAAGGUUAACCGAAUAGGGGAGCCGAAGGGAAACCGAGUCUUAACUGGGCGUUAAGUUGCAGGGUAUAGACCCGAAACCCGGUGAUCUAGCCAUGGGCAGGUUGAAGGUUGGGUAACACUAACUGGAGGACCGAACCGACUAAUGUUGAAAAAUUAGCGGAUGACUUGUGGCUGGGGGUGAAAGGCCAAUCAAACCGGGAGAUAGCUGGUUCUCCCCGAAAGCUAUUUAGGUAGCGCCUCGUGAAUUCAUCUCCGGGGGUAGAGCACUGUUUCGGCAAGGGGGUCAUCCCGACUUACCAACCCGAUGCAAACUGCGAAUACCGGAGAAUGUUAUCACGGGAGACACACGGCGGGUGCUAACGUCCGUCGUGAAGAGGGAAACAACCCAGACCGCCAGCUAAGGUCCCAAAGUCAUGGUUAAGUGGGAAACGAUGUGGGAAGGCCCAGACAGCCAGGAUGUUGGCUUAGAAGCAGCCAUCAUUUAAAGAAAGCGUAAUAGCUCACUGGUCGAGUCGGCCUGCGCGGAAGAUGUAACGGGGCUAAACCAUGCACCGAAGCUGCGGCAGCGACGCUUAUGCGUUGUUGGGUAGGGGAGCGUUCUGUAAGC